rnacentral:lncRNA from 1 species
GAAAAUAUGCUUUUUUUAAGGGAAUAUUCAGCCUGUGCAAGAUAUAAGCUCAGUUAAUUCAAGUUUUAAAUUCUGUGUAAGUGCGGUCCACUACACUCCCUCUGGGUCAUUGAUAUCACAGUAAGACUUACGAGUAGCUUUUGCAAGCAACCUACGAAGAAUUUUAUUUUUCUCUCUUUCUCUGUCCCCCUCCUUCUCCUUCUCUGACACACACGCACACACGCACUCCUAGGUCCCAUAUGAUUUCUGCUUCCAUGCUACACUCAUUUCUGCUGUUAAUGGUGCUAUGAUAUUUGCUGUCCAUGGUGCUGUGCAGUUGACCUCUCAUCCCUAGCAGUGCAGACUCCUGUUCUUAGCGGGGCCAGGCACACCACUUGCAGCAUUCUACCUUGCACUGGCUCUUGUUUCCCUUCAGCACUUCCCACCCUCAGUCAUACUUUGUGACAUCAGAGAGGUUCUCCAUCUUUUCUCCGUUGGCUCAUCUAAUGAAGAUUCCAUCCACAUCCAUUCACCUUCUCCUCAUACACCCCUUUCAAGCUCUACUUCUUUGACAAUUUCUAUGCUCCAUCAUUCAUGUGCAACAAAGCCUAGAGGAGAAGUUAUUGUCAUCUCCUAUUUCCAGAAAUACCUUCAAAUUCCAGGUGAUGAAGUGUGGGCCAUGUCUUUUAAGGAAACUUCCUAA